GACAYGACUCUCGGCAAUGGAUAUCUCGGCUCUUGCAUCGAUGAAGAGCGCAGCGAAAUGCGAUACGUGGUGYGAAUUGCAGAAUCCCGCGAAC
rnacentral:rRNA from 1 species